AUCGCCUUUGUUGUCGUUAACGUUAGUCAUUUUGUAUAAUAUUUGUUACUCGACUGAUUCCAAAACUAAUAACUAAAAUAAUAAAUAAAUUCUCACGCUCCUUGUAUAGUCUCUUUGGUGUCACCUGUGAACCGGCAAGCGCAGCUCAGCUCCGUGGAACGCGCUGUGUAACUCGCGCCCGCCACGCCACGUCGCGUCGUGAGUAGGUAUAGGUACCCCGCCAAGCUGAAAUCGUCGGCACACUGACCUUGAGUACUUAUUUCAGUAUAAUAAGCAAAGGAGUUCACUUUGUUGUAUUAAUAAUAAU